GGCAUAGGCAACUUGAAAAGUCCAGCACAUCAUUAACCUUGGGCAGAGGACAUCCAGAAGAGAAGGGUCCUACCCUGCUCCCAUGAUGCCACCUGGCACUGUGAAGGUCACGGCAUCUCCUGAGAACACAAGAGUCAUACAGCCCUGGCUUUACUUGGCUACCAAGCCAGAGACUGUGGCUGCUGUGGUUUAGAAGAGGCCGAAAGUGUUUGAAAUCUCUGUUGACCUUUGCCCAUGAUGCAUGCUGUCCUAUUCACGGGAUGUGGCUGCAGGAGUGUGCGGCUGAGCACCUGGGGGUCCAUUCAGGAAGGGCCAGAAAGGGCAGAUCCUGUGGUCCCGGAAACAAAGGAGAGAGCGGUUGGUGUCCUGUCUAGGGGAAGGACUUUGGUGCCCUCUCCUAGGAGCCUGUGCUCCAUCCAGGUGUCGUUCCAGUUUCUUCAGCCUGGGUGUCACAUUUUCCACAAUCCCUGUCAUGACGGGCAGAG